UCUGGGGUGCCGUGCCUGGAAGGCAGGAGGUUGGCUGAAGAAGACAUCUCUUACAAACAUUUAGGAAGUGAGAUGGGGAGGUUCCUUCCUGAUUUAGAAUUAAUUGAAGGUUCCUCCCGCCAUUUGAAUUGGAUGAGAAGAACGGUCUUUGUUUUCAUGGCUGAGACAUAAGAGAACAAGCUUGUAGUUUCAUGCUUGGGCAUUAGAUGCAUUUUUGGAAAGCAGUGAUCAUGUCCACUCCACACUCAUUCAUAAAAGGCAAUGUGCUGUCCUCCAAAGAAGACUGGACUGUGAGACAGGAGAUGAGAGAAUAUCUAAUAUUUUUCUGUGUUUAUUCUCUGCUAUUCAGUGUUAAAUUACUCCUUACAGCACAGUGGGGUCUCACUCUGUCACCCAGCCUGGAAUACAG
rnacentral:sRNA from 1 species